rnacentral:rRNA from 1 species
UACGUAGGGGGCUAGCGUUGUCCGGAAUCAUUGGGCGUAAAGAGCGUGUAGGCUGCUCGGUAAGUCCGCUGUAAAAGUCAAAGGCUCAACCUUUGAAUGUCAGUGGAUACUGCCGGGCUAGAGUACGGAAGAGGCGAGUGGAAUUCCUGGUGUAGCGGUGGAAUGCGUAGAUAUCAGGAGGAAUACCGAUGGCGAAGGCAGGUCUCUGGGCUGACACUGACGCUCAUGCACGAAAGCGUGGGGAGCAAACAGG